rnacentral:tRNA from 1 species
GUUUUUAUAGUUGAAAAUACAACGGGGGUUUUUCGUGCCCUAGGUCUUGGUCUAUAAUCCAAGUGAGAAUA